rnacentral:misc_RNA from 1 species
UUGAAUAACUUGGUGCUGAUGCUGGCCUUCGGGCAUGUGCUCGCGCCAUAUUAUUUAUCUAUCUCUUGUGCACCUUUUGUAGUCUUGUGGAGUGGGUCUGGUCGGAGCCAAGGCUUCGGUCCAAUUCAAAGGACUCCGCUUUUCACGAGGCUAUGUUUUCAUACACCUUUUAAAAAAGUAUUAGAAUGUUCAAUUUAUUGACUGCAAAGUCAGUAAACUCUAUA